CUUCAACAUCUGAACAUUAGAGAAAUUCCAGGAUUUUGUCAAAGAGCUGAAAUUAAUUCACAGUCAACCAAUUGUUUCUUGUGCCUUUUCCUUCCUGGAUGCAGAUGAAGUAACUGGCACUGAAUUUAAAAGUAUGCCCAUUUGAAGAAAAUACAAACCAGACUUCUCACAGAAGAUAAGCAAUCAUCAGGCUGAGAUUUGGAUGAAACAGAUAAAAUGACAUCUCUGGGGACGCAAGUGUUCAAACUUUGUGUUUUGCUUCAUUUUUUUCUACUUGCAGUGAGAAGCAGAAAUCUAACAGUCUUCCAAGAACCAUCACAGAUCAGAGCAUUGAAGGGGGACAACAUACAAAUAAAUUGUUCAUACAGUGAUACAGUAGAACAAUUCCGGAUUACGUGGAAGAGAAACAGCAGUACACAAUCAUUCUGCCAUCGUGUGGAAAAUACAUUUAAUUGUUCUUCUAUCAUACAUUGCACAGAACGUGCUAACAUUACGAUGAAUGCUUCAACAAAAUCCUCAUCUUUAAUAAUCUACAAUCUUCAUUUAAAUGAUUCUGACAUUUACUUCUGUCAAGUUGAUUUUGAAAUCCCACCUCCUUCAAAAUCAGCAACUGGCAAAGGUACACGCAUUAUUGUACAAGCUCGGCCAACUGUCCAGUUAAUUGAAAGGGCUCAGCCUUACCCUAAUCAAGGGAGAGAGUUAAUCUGCACAUCACAGGAAUUCUAUCCUGAUGACAUUCAAGUGUCCUGGUUUAAAGAUGGACAGCUAAUCACCAAUGGCAUUAAGAAUGGGACUCUCCACACUAACAGUGAUGGCUCGUUCUCCACCACAAGUUUCCUGAAUCUUUCUGUAUUUGAGCGGAAUGAAAGUGGAACAUAUUCCUGUCAGGUGAACCACCGAACACUGUCUGUAUCCACCACUGAAAAGAUUUCUGUUUGUAACCAAGGUUCUGCCAGUAACAGACGAUUGUGGAUAUCACUAAUAGCUAGCGGUUUAAUUGUAUUGAUUGCGUGUGUGGUUGUUGCAGUACUUUGUACACGUUCAAUUUCAAAAAAAAAUGCUUCAUCAUCAAAGAAAGCAGAUAUGCCUGAAAGUGAACCACAUGCAAGAGAGCAGCCACCCAAAGAUGAUAAUGCUGUUUAUUCACUGCUUGGCCAAUACCCUUGUGCUUUAUAAACUUACAAUGUUUUAAAAGGUUGUCUAUGGCAUUAGUCAACAGGUUUCAUGGUUCCUAUAGGUUUUUUGUAGGAGUGUUAACAAAGCUGUUCAACCAUUUUGUGCAUUUCUACAAAUUCCUAAAGGUGAUGUCACCUUAUAAAACUUCACUAAUAGGCUAUAGCAUUGAGACUCCACAACUAUAACAGUGAGGAGGAGAG